rnacentral:rRNA from 1 species
GACAGAGGGUGCAAACGUUGUUCGGAAUUACUGGGCGUAAAGCGCGUGUAGGCGGUGUCGUAAGUCGGGUGUGAAAUCCCUCGGCCCAACCGAGGAACUGCGCCCGAUACUGCGAUGCUUGAGGACCAGAGGGGUGCAUGGAAUUUCCGGUGGAGCGGUGAAAUGCGUUGAUAUCGGAAGGAACUCCGGCGGCGAAAGCGAUGCACUGGCUGGUUUCUGACGCUGAGGUGCGAAAGCCAGGGGAGCAAACGGG